rnacentral:lncRNA from 1 species
GGCAGAAUUUCCAGAAUUUCCCUUGAAGAAACUCAAGAUUUUCCUUUAUUUCCAUGCUUGGGGGGUGGGGGUGGGAGUGUAUGGCAGGCCCCUAAGAGGCGUCCCUGCUUUGUCUCAUAGGUUCGUCAGAAUGGGGUGUCCUCAGAUGUGAUUUGUGGUUGUGGGUUCUGAUACGGAUUUAUCUAGGAUUUGGUGGCAAGAGAUGUGGAGAUUAGGACUAGGAUUGAGUCACUGUUUCAGGGGAUAGCCUGGGGAUGACCUAGGGAAUUGUUAAGGAACAAGAGGUUACUAUUUCUUUACACGGUGAGGAUUGUCCUUUUUUUUUUUUUUUUUUUUCAGUCCAACCAGUGAUUCCCAACUGACUUGACAGAUGCUAACUUGCUAUAUUGCUUCUGCCACAAUAAUUUUUCCACAAUGAUUCUUAACCUAUUACAAAUGUAUGGAAACAAAUUAACCUGAGUACACUUGAUUUGGUUACAUUCUAAACAUAUAACUUUAGGAAUGAGUCCACUUAAUCAUGUAGGAAACUAAAUGAAGAUACCAGCAUUGAGGCUGAAAAAGCUGAUGAAUGUAGAAGUUUUGAGGGCAAAUGAUUGUAUGUAGGGUAGGAGGGAGAUGAUGUAGAAGAGGUCAAGUCUGCAGUCCUGGGUGAGUGGGAGGAAGAGAGAAGUCAGAUGGCAGGAUCUAUUUCAGGAGAGGUGCAGACAGUUUUGAGCAUGUUUUGCUUGAGACCCUGGCAUGAAGUCUAUGUGGAUUUUUCCAAGAGUCUGUUAUAAACAUUUGGCUGUUAUUUUGUUGGAAACAUUUUACUGUUAUAUGGGAUGUCACACAACAAUGAAAGUGCUGAGCUUCUCAGGGACUCUGGGGUGCAAAUAAGCUCACUUUUCACUAGGGCCUUCUCCACCCCAACCCCUACAGGUAUUUAGGUUGUAACUUCCUCAAGCAGUUCUUUCCACAUCAUGUAGCUCUGGUCCAUGCCAUGUGUGCCAAUGGUAACCAAACCUUUCAUCCUGACCAUCACUAACUGGAUUGGCGUCCCAGCCAAAAGCAACCAAUCUCUGUGGAGAAAAGAGAAGCCAACGUCCUCUGAGAAGUCUUUUGCAGGUUUUUUGUAUCAUGGUUAUAUUCAUAUCAUAAAAUGAAUUGGGAACCUCUGGUUUCAGCUCCAACAUGUAAAGAGCUUAGAAGUUGUCACUUCCACCCUUAUAAUAAGAAAAGCCUGAACAAACUGAAAAUCAAUGAUUUUUCUUGUACCCAUCAGAGAGCUGAAGUUGCAAGGUAGACCACCACUCUGAAAUUGGGAGAGACAGGCAAAUCCAGAGAAGUACAGCUAAUAUUUGCAUAUCUGGAGCAGAAGCCACUUGGAGCCAUAAACUGUUAGGAACACUUAAAUGGUAAUUUUGAUGGUAAUUUUGAUAAAUUGCUAGAGGCUGAGUGUGAACUAGCAUGAGACUGAGAAAUUUCCAGGGCCACCGUCUUAGUAGAGCCCUCAUAUUUUCAUGGAUUCUAUUUCCAAAAACCUCAUUAGUUUCUCCCCUACUGGCUCUGGUGGGGUAGAGCAGGGGGAGAAAAUAAAUCUUUAUGAAAUAAAACCAAUGUAUGCUCCAUAGCAAAGGCAUCUCCAGGGACAAACAGGCUUUUCCAGAGCCUUAUCCCACCUGGGCAAAGGGCAUUGAUCCCCCUCUACUUUCCUCUAGCCUUCCUGUCUCACCUAACAGGGAGGAAAAAGUGAAGACACAGGCACACCAAACAAGACCUGUGGCCACAGGAACACAGGCCCACCAAAAGGCUGAGAUUUCAUCAUAGGAUUAUAGAAUACUUUCAUUCUGCAUACUAAUAUGCUCCCGUAUAAUGAAAGUAGAUUACAUGGACAAGAAUUGAAUAUAGAGAAGCACAAAACAAAUUUGUUGAAGUGAUGGAAAUGUCUCAUGUCUUAAUUAGGGUGACAAUAUUCUGGGUGUAUAAAUCCAUCAAAACACAUAGAACUGUCAUCUUAAAUCUGUGCAUUUUAUUUUACCUAAAUUAUACCAAAAUAAAAAACAUAUAAUGGGAAAAAAUACAUUAUAGCAGAAAGAGCUAUAAGAUACAGACUCUCUCUGAGCAGGAGUACUUAGGGAAACCCAAAGUCAACAAAGGAGACAGAAACAAGGACGUUAAAGGAAUUUGAAGCCUUUGGCACCUACAGCCACCAUAAACAUUAAAGACAUCCUAGCUCCCAGCCAGAUUAAUAUAAAAGCUUACACUAAAGGGCUAUUUAGAUUAUGUCUGACUUUCAACAACAGAAUGAAUUGGGAAGCAGUUUUUCUUUUUCUGUUCUUUGAGUUUGGUUACAAUUGGUAUUAUUAAUUCUUUACAUAUUUGGCACAAUCCACCAGUGAAGCCACUUGAGUCUAGAGUUUUCUUUAUGGGAAGUCUUUCACUAGUGGAUUCAAUUGUUUUAACAAAUAUAAGACUACUCAAAUUUUCUUACAUUUUUAGUGUCAGUUUGGGUACAUUGUGUAUUUUAAGGAAUUUACUAUUCACUGAAGUGUCAAAUAUAUUAGUAUUAAGUUUUCUUUUAGCAUUAGUAAGAUCUAUAGUUAAUGUUUACUUCUUUAUUUUCAAUAUUAGUAAUGUGUUUCCUCUCAAACAGUUUUACUGGCAUGUUAUUAAUUUUGUUAAACUUUUCAGAUAUCACUUUUGGCUAUUUUGAUGUUUUCUAUUCUAUUUUUUAUUUCACGACAUUUUCCUGGUGUCUUUAUUUUUACUUCCUUCUAUUUCCCUUGGAUUUUAUUUGAUGGUCUUUUUCUAGCUUUUUGAGAUAAAAGCUUAGAUCAUGAAUUUUUGGCUUUUAUUCUUUUCUAAUAUAUGUAAAUAAAACUAUAACUUUUCCUCUAAACUCUAUAGCUGCAUCUCACAAAUUUUC